rnacentral:lncRNA from 1 species
GUCCAGUUCUAGUUUAUUGUGGAGGGAAAUGGGGGACAUGGAGCAAAUCCAGACAGACCCUCUCCUCUCCUUUCAGCAAGGACUCAGUGAGGUGAAAUGGGUCUGAGGAGGCCAAAGACUACGACAGGAGGCCAAAGCAGAAGGCUGGGACAGGAGAGGGGCUAGAGACAGCGAGGAAGGGACACCAGACUGCCACGUUAGGAAAUCGGCAAAGACACCCUUCCUGCUGAAAGGCCAGUGUGGCACUGAGUCUUAGAGACAGGCCUAAGGGGAUACGGUACCAGGUCUGAGUGGACAUGGCAGGUGACCACUGGAGGGGGUGUGGAGCACUCAGAUGAUGGUUCCUCUGUGCCCUUCUCUCGUCUGGAUAGGCAGAAUCUAUGCUUGAGUUUUUCUAGGAGGCAGAAAGAGCAGUGCAGGAUGGGGGGUGGCGUGAAACCUAAAUCGUACAGAUGCUGGAGGUACAAAGGAGGGAAGCCCAGGAGGCCACAGGACCACAGGGUGAGGGUACUGCAGGAGGCUGGGGGUGAGGGGCAUUGAACGCGCUGUGGUGUGGGAAGGGGAAGGAGUCAGGGUCCAGCCCUGGGUAGAUCCAGAAGUCCUGAGCUGCCGAAGAACAAGUACCUAUGGCACAGGUCAGCCACGGACAAGCCUAGCUCCAGGGGCAGGGUGGCCAGGGGUCUAGGCCUUCAGGUUCCUUCCCAGCAUGGAAGCUAGGCAGGGGCAAGGAGAGGUUUAGGGCCUGGUAGAACUGGCAGACCUGGGCGUUGGACAGAGGCAGGGCCAGGGCCUUCUCGGAGAGCUCAGGCAGGGAGCUCUGGAGCUGGGGACUGGUCCAGGAGUUGCAGUAAUUGUACUGACAGCCAUGGGCCUGAUACCAGUGCUGUGAGAAGUAGGUGCUACGCGUUUCUUGGCAGUGGUAGGAACUAAUCUGUCCACAGCCUCAGAUGUUGAAGCGGACACUGACCUGCAGAGCAAAGGGGACGGCUGUAGCCCCUGAUAGUAGCC